rnacentral:rRNA from 1 species
GAUGAACGCUAGCGGCAGGCCUAAUACAUGCAAGUCGAGGGGUCAGCAAUGACACCGGCGCACGGGUGCGUAACGCGUAUGCAACCUGCCUUUCACUUGGGGAUAGCCUUUCAAAAGAAAGAUUAAUACCCAAUGGUCUAUUUGGGAAACAUCUUCUGGAUAGUAAAGAUUACGGUGAAAGAUGGGCAUGCGUCUGAUUAGCUAGUUGGCGGGGUAACGGCCCACCAAGGCAACAAUCAGUAGGGGUUCUGAAAGGAUGGUCCCCCACACUGGCACUGAAAUACGGGCCAAACUCCUACGGGAGGCAGCAGUAGGGAAUAUUGGGCAAUGGACGGAAGUCUGACCCAGCCAUGCCGCGUGCAGGAAGAAGGUCCUCUGGAUUGUAAACUGCUUUAGACGGGAAAAAAUAAGGAUCAUGCGUGAUCUGAUGACGGUACCCGUAAAAUAAGCACCGGCUAACUACGUG